GGCUUUCCUGGAGGAGAGAAGUGUCCUAUGUUUUAACCGCCCAUCUGUGUGGACUGUACACAGAGAAGGAGAAACGCUAGAGUUAUAGACAUAGGUAAACCAUGCAGGGGUCCUCGUGAGAGGAAACGCUGCAUAAUACUGGAAACUUCCCUCUGCCUUUUCUGUCAGACGAAAACUCUGGAAAGAGCCACCCUUCAUAUGAAGGAAUGAACCAGUGCAGCCCAUGGAGCCAGGAUCUCAGCAAAGGCUGAGACUGACCCCCACCUGCUUGCCCAUGUUGGAUCUUGCACCUUCCAUUCCAGAUGUUUCACUGCCUGUAAGGGGAACAUGGAUGAACCUGGAAACCAUCAUUCUCAGCAAACUGGCACAAGAACAGAAAAUCAAACACCGAAUGUUCUCACUCAUAGAUUGUACCCCGCGAGGAUACUGCACGGAGUGAAUAAGGCUUCAGUCCAACAUGAAGAAUAUCCUCCUUAGAGAUUUGGGCAAACAUACAUGGAGGAUGCCAUGUGAAGAAACACGGAUGAAGCUGGAAGCCAUCAUUCCCAGCAAAGCGAUACAGGAACAGAAAACCAAACAGAAAACCAAACACCGCAGUUCUCAGCUACAGUGGACUGGGCCUCCCUAUGUUGCCCUGGCUGGUCUCAAACUCCUGGGCUCAGACGAUCUGCCUGUCUUGGCUUCCUAAAGUGCUGAGAUUACAGGUGAGAGCCACCAUGCCUGGCCAAGAAAUGCAUCCAGCCCCAGAUGAGAGACUCACUUUUGCAACCUCAAGAUGCUGAAAAGUACAAUAAGACAGGAAGACAAACGGAAGUCACCUAGCUAUUUAAACAGGCAAAAACCAUCCUUUGCUCGGCAGCAGGCCACUUUGGAUGACAGGUCGUAGUUUGCUGACCUCUGAUGAAGACACAGAGUCUGAAAGGGGCCUGCAGGUAUGAGCAGGUUUCAGAGGAUGGGGGCGGGGAUUGCAUUUGGCUCAUGACUACAACUCAUCGGAAAAUAAAUCAGUGAGGAUUUAGGACAAAGAGUGGAUUGAUGUUCGGUUGUGAAUGUGGAGCCCCAGAUGUCUUGUGGGUCUGGUCCCAGAAGCAGGCAGAAUGGGUUGGAGGGGUGUUUGUUAGGACAUUGUCGUAAUGGAAGAAGUACCUGGCCCUAGGAGCCUGCCCCAGAGCGGGAGAAUGGCGAUGGAUACAAGACGUGGUGUGGAGAUCGAGCUGAAUGUUAAGGAAGGUUCAGAAUGAAAGUGGACAGAGACUCUGACUUGUCUGACUGGAAGGGAGCUGGCCCCAUGAUCAGAAAUAGGAGAAAGAGGAGGCAGUGGUAGGAGCUGCUGAAGAGCUCAGUUGUACCCAUGAUUGGAGGUAUCAGAAAAAAACUCAGGUGGAUAAAUGCAAGGAAAAACUGGAGCAAGGUCAGAGUAGUGAUCUCAAAGACACCUCAGGAAUGUCUGCCAGAGUCCAGAACUUUGGACAAUGCCUAUGACUGGAAGCAAUGAGAAAGAGGAAAGCUGUAAUCUAGUUCGCAGUGGCUCAGUCCUGGCUCCAUCACUAACAUCAGGAACUUAACAAGGAUGAAGUCUCAGAGGAAUAUUAUGAGAGUCACAUGAGCUCACAGUUAAUGAAGUAUUUUUCACACUGCCAUAUUCCUGUAUGUGCUGGUUUGAAUUUGGAUCAUAAUCCCGAAAGACAGUCCGAAUGCCUUAAUCCCAAUUGUUGAAAUCUCUAAAAACUAAAAUUCACAAAUCUAAAAAUUCUAGCAUCUAAGAUCCUGCAGAUCACACUUGUGCUAUGUUAUGUGGAACUAUUACCCUGUUAUUGUCUUUAUUUGGAAAUUAAGUAUGGUUGAAGGAGAUGCAUAUGAGUUCCAGGUUGACAAUGGGUGGAUUUUAGUGGGAACUUGACUGGGAAAAGAAAUACCUAGAAACCUGGGAGAGCAUGAUUUUAGGUGUGCCUGUGAAGGUUUCCAGAGGAGCUUAGUGUGUGGUCUGAGUGGACCAGGUCAGGAAAGAUCUGCCUUCAGUGCUGGGGGGCACCAUCCAAUUUGCUGUGAACCCAGAAAGAACAAUUACGGAAGACGAAUUGGUCUCUCUCUGAGAGCUGGGACAGGCUUUACUGGUGCUACCUUGGGCAUCAGAAGUCCAAAUUCACUGGUUUUUGGACUCAAGGACUUAUACCAGGGGACCCAUGGGUAUUGAGACUUUCAGCAUUGGACCAAGAGUUACGCCAUUGGCUUCCCUGAUUCUGAGGCCUUUGGACUUCGAUGGACCCAUGCUACCAGUGUUCUGGGGUCUCUAACUUGCAAAUAGCCUGUCAUGGGACUUCCCAGCCACCAUUAUCAUGUGAAUCAAUUCCCCUAAUAAACCCUCUUUCAUCUAUCUGUGUAUAUAUCCUAUUGCUCCUGUUUGUCUGGAGAACCCUGACUCAAUCUGUAUCGGAGAAGAUGAAUAUUAUUCCUUUGGACUGGAUUCUCCACUGCAUGGUGAAAGAGAUCUGUGAAAUUGUUUCUUUGCAAAAAGACUGUGAUAAAUUAAGUAUAUGAGGCUCCUUAAUGGUGAAAGGUAAAAAGCUAAUUAUUAUUGGUGCCGCAAAAGCAGAAAACUGCUUACUUGCAAUGGUCAAGAAUCACCAGCCUUUCAAGUGAACAGCAUGUACUGUUCAAGUGAACAGAAUGUGUAGGUCACAAUACUCUCCAAAUGCAAGUGCAGUGAGCAUUUUAAUGAUCAUAGAAGUGAAAAUGCAGGCAAAAAUUAUAAGUUAUUCCGUCAUUUUAGAAACAUUUAAUGGCUAAUGCCAUUGAUGGUACACAAGGCUAUAAAUAGUAUAUGGGAAAAUGCAGGUAUCAACAACUCUGAGGUAUUCUGAACAGUCUGAACAAGAAGUUUAAAAAGUACUUUGAUUAAUUUGGUAAGUAUUUUCUUGUUUUUUUUCUAUGUUCAAGAGCGAUAUAUGGGCCUGGCGCAGUGGCUCUUGCCUGUAAUCCCAGCACUUUGGGAGGUCGAGAGGGGCAGAUCCCGAGGUCAGGAGUUUGAGACCAGCCUGGCUAACACAGUGAAACUCUGUUUCUACUGAAAAAUACAAAAAUUAGCUAGGUGUGGUGGUGGGUGCCUGUGAUCCCAGCUACUCUGGAGGCUGAGGCAGAGGUUGAACCUGGGAGGCAGAGAUUGCAGUGAGCUGAGAUCAUGCCACUGCACUGCAGCCCGGGCAUCAAAAAAGAGAAUGCUAUACAAAAUAAGUCUAUGCUAUAACUAAAUGCAUCUAAAAUAUUUUCUUUAGGAUAAGGUCCA